rnacentral:rRNA from 1 species
CCUACGGGUGGCAGCAGUGAGGAAUAUUGGUCAAUGGACGAGAGUCUGAACCAGCCAAGUCGCGUGAAGGAUGACUGCCCUAUGGGUUGUAAACUUCUUUUAUAAAGGAAUAAAACGAGGCACGUGUGCCUUUUUGCAUGUACUUUAUGAAUAAGGAUCGGCUAACUCCGUGCCAGCAGCCGCGGUAAUACGGAGGAGCCGAGCGUUAUCCGGAUUUAUUGGGUUUAAAGGGAGCGUAGAUGGGUUGUUAAGUCAGUUGUGAAAGUUUGCGGCUCAACCGGAAAAUUGCAAUUGAUACUGGCAGUCUUGAGUACAGUUGAGGUAGGCGGAAUUCGUGGUGUAGCGGUGAAAUGCUUAGAUAUCACGAAGAACCCCGAUUGCGAAGGCAGCUUACUAAACUGUGACUGACAUUGAUGCUCGAAAGUGUGGGUAGCAAACAGGAUUAGAUACCCCUGUAGUC